rnacentral:rRNA from 1 species
GAUGAACGCUGGCGGCGUGCUUAACACAUGCAAGUCGAACGGAAAGGCCCAAGCUUGCUUGGGUACUCGAGUGGCGAACGGGUGAGUAACACGUGGGUGAUCUGCCCUGCACUUCGGGAUAAGCCUGGGAAACUGGGUCUAAUACCGGAUAGGACGAUGGUUUGGAUGCCAUUGUGGAAAGUUUUUUCGGUGUGGGAUGAGCUCGCGGCCUAUCAGCUUGUUGGUGGGGUAAUGGCCUACCAAGGCGUCGACGGGUAGCCGGCCUGAGAGGGUGUACGGCCACAUUGGGACUGAGAUACGGCCCAGACUCCUACGGGAGGCAGCAGUGGGGAAUAUUGCACAAUGGGCGCAAGCCUGAUGCAGCGACGCCGCGUGGUGGAUGACGGCCUUCGGGUUGUAAACUCCUUUCGCUAGGGACGAAGCGUUUUUGUGACGGUACCUGGAGAAGAAGCACCGGCUAACUACGUG